AUGACAAUGGAUUGUGCAUGAUAUGGGAAAAGAAAAAGGAAACAAUAGGCCUAUAGCUCUGCUAAUUAGGCUGCAAUAUCUUUAUUCACCUAAAAUCAGGAAACGAGAGGGGCCCGUCCCUCUGCUCGCAGUGUAGCUCGUCCCAUCUUGGAAUCAGUACUUAGUCGAAAAAGUUGGGAUUAUUAACUAGAGCACCGACAUAUUUUAGCGUCAAAUCUUCGCAUUCAGCAUGGAUAUAUGCGCGCACUCUUUACAUAAGCUGCGACCUUCAAAUCAAGUUUCAUCGACUUCUUGUACCGCUGGCCACCUGCGCAGCUAGAUAGUUUGCUGCUAUCGUGCAGGAUGGAAGAGAAUGACGCCAGACUUUGAUGGUGGAUUAAAUCUGAACGCUGAGAUCCUGUUCAUGGGAGAAAUUGACCGUUUAUAACCUCAUUGGAUAACACAAUUACUAUAAAUCCGUAGUUUCCAUCAUAUAGUCCCAAGGUAUCACGUGGAAAUGCGUAUACGGAUAACGAGGUCACACACUCGUUCAAUUGCCGUAGAAAUAAACGGGAAGAAAGCAGGCUUGAGCAACCAAAAGAAAACAUGCAAAUGGGAGAGAAAGUACUAUUCAGAACAUUCUUCCGAUUGGUUGUGAGAUGAGAGGAUCUGGUUUUACAUUUGGAUAUUAGUCAGUCCUUUGUGGCGUAUCUAGAGGACGUCUGUUUGGUAGCUGGUAGCAAAUCGAAAAAGGCCCAGGUAGAAGGCGAUUAAAGGACUUCGAUUGAAGGUAUUCACUCAAUACUACCCC